GUUUUUCGCCUUAAGAUGAGCCCGCGUGGGAUUAGCUAGUUGGUGAGGUAACGGCUCACCAAGGCAACGAUCUCUAGCUGGUCUGAGAGGAUGAUCAGCCACACUGGAACUGAGACACGGUCCAGACUCCUACGGGAGGCAGCAGUAGGGAAUAUUGCACAAUGGAGGAAACUCUGAUGCAGCGACGCCGCGUGAGUGAUGAAGGCCUUCGGGUCGUAAAGCUCUGUCGUACGGGAAUAAUAAAGUG
rnacentral:rRNA from 1 species